AACCUGCCGUGGCAACGCUGGAGUUUUAUGGCCAGUCCAGAGAAAGAAAUUUCAAGAUUUGGUUCAGUCCCAGAUUUGAAUCAUCCCAUGAUGGAUAGGCUUCACCAAUACAACCAGGAAAAGAGCACGUCACCAGGCAGAUGGGACAUUGUGAGCUGAUUAUGAAACUUUGAAGAUUUCCCUAUGGAAUGACUAAGGACUUUAAAGUAAGACCCACCAAGGAAGCCACCAAACACUUCUGACAGUGCAAAUGGAGGAAUCCAGCAGGAAUUGAUCAGGAAGCCUCCUCUCCAACUUCCAACAGAGGGAAUAAAUACAGCUACACCCAGUUCUAACCUCUGUUAACCACAACAACUACUAGCAUUACAAGAUUCACUUAGCACAAUAGUGGCACUUACAUAUUGGAUGUAACCAGCAGCCAUAUAAUGCAACUAAGGCUGACUCAGUGGGAGGGAGUUCAUAUCUGGCAUUAUAAACCUAACCAACUGCUCAUGGCAGGUGACAUCAUGGAGGCUAGCAGAGGACCUCUUAUUGCUACUUUGCUAACAAAAUUAUUCCUUAAAUUCUGCUCUUGGUUUUUCUUACCUAUUAAUUUGUAUCUUUUAAAAAUGUUUAUUUAGGUAUUUAUUCAAAAAUAUUUAUUAGAAUAUUGCUUGUGUAUUCUGCAAUGUGUGGGGUUGCCAGAAGUUUCAGAAUUUCACCCUGGAAAUUGCGAUUUGGGGUAAUGGAUGGCUGUGAGCUACCAUGUAAGUUCUAGGUGCCGAAAAUUGGAUCCUCCAGUAAAGUAACAAGUGCUGAU